rnacentral:rRNA from 1 species
AGACGUCUACAUUAGAUACCCGCGUAGUCCCAGCCGUAAACUAUGCGCGUUAGGUGUAUCGGUGACCACGAGUUACCGAGGUGCCGAAGGGAAACCGUGAAACGUGCCGCCUGGGAAGUACGGUCGCAAGGCUGAAACUUAAAGGAAUUGGCGGGGGAGCACCACAACAGGUGGAGCCUGCGGUUUAAUUGGACUCAACGCCGGGAAGCUCACCGGAUAGGACAGCAGAAUGACUGCCGGGCUGAAGACCCUGCAUGACUAGCUG